rnacentral:rRNA from 1 species
AGGGAAUCUUCCGCAAUGGACGAAAGUCUGACGGAGCAACGCCGCGUGAGUGAUGAAGGUUUUCGGAUCGUAAAGCUCUGUUGCCAGGGAAGAACGUCCGUUAGAGUAACUGCUAACGGAGUGACGGUACCUGAGAAGAAAGCCCCGGCUAACUACGUGCCAGCAGCCGCGGUAAUACGUAGGGGGCGAGCGUUGUCCGGAAUUAUUGGGCGUAAAGCGCGCGCAGGCGGCUGUUAAGUCGGGUGGUGAAUCCUGGGGCUCAACCCCGGGUCGCACUGGAAACUGGACAGCUGGAGUGCAGAAGAGGAGAGUGGAAUUCCACGUGUAGCGGUGAAAUGCGUAGAGAUGUGGAGGAACACCAGUGGCGAAGGCGACUCUCUGGGCUGUAACUGACGCUGAGGCGCGAAAGCGUGGGGAGCAAAC